rnacentral:misc_RNA from 1 species
GCACGCCAUAUGCUGCAGCCAAUUACCCAGGCCCAGCAGAUCAUUAUUCCUGACCAUACCAGAGCAACAAAUUUGCAGAUUGCAGGCACAUUUCACCACAAAUUUGCUAUGCUCAUCAGUCAUCACGGUUUCUGCAACAAUGUCAGACAAUGGCUUCUUUUUUCUUUUUCCUUUACAUCAAGAGCAAAAGAAGCAUCAGACAAUGGCUUCUGGAGGUGAAACCCAACUUUUAAUAGAAGGGAAAGCUCAAGAAGCUGUCUUAGUCAGCACCGAUUACACUGGGGUUACUGCUUCUUUUUUUUACAUCAAGAGCAAAACAAGCAUCAGACACCACGCCUCAGAUACGGCUGGUCCUGCCCCAGAAGUACUCCUUCACGAAGGCCACGACGAUCACGACGUUGGGCACGGUGGUGAGCACCACUCCCACCACGGCCACCGGCGGCCGCACCGUCAGCGGGCCCCUCCGCUCCCGCCGCCGGCGCGCGUAGGCCCUGAGCUCGGAGUCGGCCCACCGCUCGGGCGCCGGCUCGAUGGCCGCGGAGGGCACGACCGGCGGCGGGAGCUGGAAGGGGCACCGGGACCGCCAGGACGAGGGCGGGAGGCAGAGGCUCGCCGCGCGCGGGAGGAACACGGAGGCGAGAGCCCAGCGGAGGAGCGAGGCGCCGGGGCAGAGGAACGGCGGGUACGACGUGGUGGAGCCGAGGCCCCGCGGCGGGCACGGGACGCGGGAGGCGAGGAAGAGCUGCGACUGGAGCGACGGCGCGUGGGACGGGUGGGUCAGGACGUGGGUCAGGGCCUCAGUGCGCUGCGCCCAUGUGGGAGUGGGGACGUGAGAGGCGGCCCGGCCUCGGGUACGGGCGUCGGCCUUCGCCAUGUGGGAAGGGAAGGGGAGCGGAGGUGAGAGGCGGCGGCGGAGGCCGGAGCUAGGACCUGGAGGCUGGGGCGGUCGUGGAGCGGAGGUGACAGGAUAAGGAUGUUUGGAACGUCGCCAAAUUUCUCCGUGUUCCUGCGUUUU